GAGCGCCGUAGCAAUACGGAGCGGCAGACGGGAGAGUAACACGUGGGAACGUGCCCUUCAGUUCGGAACAACUCAGGGAAACUUGGGCUAAUACCGAAUACGUCCGUAAGGAGAAAGAUUUAUCGCUGAAGGAUCGGCCCGCGUCUGAUUAGCUAGUUGGUGAGGUAACGGCUCACCAAGCCGACGAUCAGUAGCUGGUCUGAGAGGAUGAUCAGCCACACUGGGACUGAGACACGGCCCAGACUCCUACGGGAGGCAGCAGUGGGGAAUAUUGGACAAUGGGCGAAAGCCUGAUCCAGCCAUGCCGCGUGAGUGAAGAAGGCCUUCGGGUUGUAAAGCUCUUUCGGCGGGGACGAUGAUGACGGUACCCGCAUAAGAAGCCCCGGCAAACUUCGUG
rnacentral:rRNA from 1 species